AGAAAAUCCUCGAUCUUCAAUAUUUUACACCCGGUGUUUUGAGGAAGAAUAAAGCAAUUACUAAACCUGCGAUCUUUAACCAAGCAGAAACACAAGAUGCAACGCACGGUCCCACUGAAAUGAUCUGUUCUUUGGGCUCUUUUGUGUAAUCUGUGGCAAUCCUUGAAUUAUGCGGGCAAGUCUACAAGGCAAAACAACAGAGGGGACGUCUCAGCUGAGGGUACCUUGGAGUAUUUCUCCGAAUCGCAGAGGGAGACUGCACAGUGGAGGUGAACUUCGUCGUAGUCUCCGAUGAACUUGAAGACGGUGACGUGGAAGCGGCAGGUG